rnacentral:misc_RNA from 1 species
AAGAUUCUGGCAUUCGUGCCUAACCUCUUCAGCUGUGCGCUUCGGCUGCACGCUGUUGAAUAUCCCACACCUGUGCACUUCUUCGGUUGCGGUCCCUUGCUGGACUGCUUCCGCCUUUUACAUUCAACCACAAGUCUUGUAUGUCUAAUACUAUAAAGUAA